GAUGAACGCUGGCGGCGUGCCUAAUACAUGCAAGUCGAGCGAACAGACGAGGAGCUUGCUCCUCUGACGUUAGCGGCGGACGGGUGAGUAACACGUGGAUAACCUACCUAUAAGACUGGGAUAACUUCGGGAAACCGGAGCUAAUACCGGAUAAUAUAUUGAACCGCAUGGUUCAAUAGUGAAAGACGGUUUUGCUGUCACUUAUAGAUGGAUCCGCGCCGCAUUAGCUAGUUGGUAAGGUAACGGCUUACCAAGGCAACGAGGCGUAGCCGACCUGGGAGGGUGAUCGGCCACACUGGAACGGAAACACGGUCCAGACUCCUACGGGAGGCAGCAGUAGGGAAUCUUCCGCAAUGGGCGAAAGCCUGACGCAGCAACGCCGCGUGAGUGAUGAAGGUCUUCGGAUCGUAAAACUCUGUUAUUAGGGAAGAACAAAUGUGUAAGUAACUAUGCACGUCUUGACGGUACCUAAUCAGAAAGCCACGGCUAACUACGUG
rnacentral:rRNA from 1 species